UUGUCUCUUGCCCACCAGUCCACCACGCUCAACUCUGCCUCGACGACAUGGACAGCACCGCCCGCUCCGCCGCCUGUUCAUCCUAGCGUCCUGUGCCGCCGCGACCUACAGCUUGCCUUUCGAAACACGUUGAGUAAUACCUCUCCUCCUUAAGGACUGCAACGACGAGUGUUCCUUCUCCUUUUUGAAUCCCAUAAGUUGCA